rnacentral:rRNA from 1 species
UACAGAGGGUGCGAGCGUUAAUCGGAAUUACUGGGCGUAAAGCGUGCGUAGACGGUUAUUUAAGUCGGGUGUGAAAGCCCCGGGCUCAACCUGGGAAUUGCAUUCGAGACUGAAUAGCUAGGGUACGGUAGAGGGAAGCGGAAUUUCCGGUGUAGCGGUGAAAUGCGCAGAUAUCGGAAGGAACAUCAGUGGCGAAAGCGGCUUCCUGGACCAGUACCGACGUUCAGGCACGAAAGCGUGGGGAGCAAACAGG